rnacentral:rRNA from 1 species
CCUACGGGGUGCUGCAGUCGAGAAUCAUUCACAAUGGGGGAAACCCUGAUGGUGUGACGCCGCGUGGGGGAAUGAAGGUCUUCGGAUUGUAAACCCCUGUCAUGUGGGAGCAAAUUAAAAAGAUAGUACCACAAGAGGAAGAGACGGCUAACUCUGUGCCAGCAGCCGCGGUAAUACAGAGGUCUCAAGCGUUGUUCGGAAUCACUGGGCGUAAAGCGUGCGUAGGCUGUUUCGUAAGUCGUGUGUGAAAGGCGCGGACUCAACCCGCGGACGGCACAUGAUACUGCGAGACUAGAGUAAUGGAGGGGGAACCGGAAUUCUCGGUGUAGCAGUGAAAUGCGUAGAUAUCGAGAGGAACACUCGUGGCGAAGGCGGGUUCCUGGACAGUAACUGACGCUGAGGCACGAAGGCCAGGGGAGCGAAAGGGAUUAGAUACCCGAGUAGUC